rnacentral:rRNA from 1 species
GACAGAGGGUGCAAACGUUGUUCGGAAUUACUGGGCAUAAAGAGCACGUAGGUGGUCCGCUAAGUCACGUGUGAAAUCCCCCGGCUCAACCGGGGAAUUGCGCGUGAUACUGGCGGACUCGAGGCGGGUAGGGGUGAGCGGAACUCCAGGUGGAGCGGUGAAAUGCGUAGAUAUCAAGUAGAACACCAGUGGCGAAGGCGAGUCUCUGGACAUUUCCUGACGCUGAGGCACGAAAGCCAGGGGAGCAAACGGG